rnacentral:rRNA from 1 species
UACGUAGGGUGCGAGCGUUAAUCGGAUUUACUGGGCGUAAAGCGUGCGCAGGCGGUCUGCUAAGACAGGUGUGAAAUCCCUGGGCUCAACCUAGGAAUUGCGCUUGUGACUGGCGGGCUAGAGUACGGUAGAGGGGGGUGGAAUUCCUGGUGUAGCAGUGAAAUGCGUAGAGAUCAGGAGGAACACCGAUGGCGAAGGCAGCCCCCGGGGCCUGUACUGACUCUCAGGCACGAAAGCGUGGGGAGCAAACAGG